CGGUUCGAGUCCGCUUACCUCCACUGAUUAACUGCCUGAUAACUCAAUAUGGAGAUAUUGUUAUUGCUUGUGAUUUAGAUUUGUUCCUCUGAUUGGAACCUAGCUUCAUAUCAAUCUUCGAAUUCUCGUAGACCGAUAAGACGCUGGGCUCACUGAUUAUUAAAUAAUAAUCAGAUUGAUUCAGCA
rnacentral:misc_RNA from 1 species